GAGUGAGUUUUCAGAUAAGGGUUUAAGGUACUAGUCUAGUAGAGGGAUAGGUCUUCUUUAAAAAUUAAUGCAUUCAGUCAAAAAAGAGAACUUCUUGUUAACAAUAUGAAUAUGAGUAGGGAUACAAACCAAUUUUUAUUUUUGGUAUGCAAAUCCAGUCUGAAAGUCCUUGUUUUAAAAUAAUGGGUCUAUUACAUUUCUUCAUUAUUUCCAAGUCUAAAAUUUUUGUGAUCCCAGUGGCCAAUCCGGGGGUUAGGGUUGGAACCCCCCUCCCUUUUUUUUUUAAUGAUAAAGCAUUUGAAUGGGGAUAUAUAUAUUUAAAACCUCCACUUUCUCCUGGGUUGGAUCCCCCUUUAUUUAAAGAUUGCUGGUUCCUCUCCUGAACAUUUCUCCCUUCCUAUUUGGUAAAGACAUUAUAUUGUGUCCAUAGUAUAUGGAUGCCCCAUCCGCACUAUCAUUUUCUAUGUUCAUUAAAUGGCAUUAAAAUUAAAAAGAUGAUAUCCUAGGGAACAUGUGUACUAAGUUUCAAGUUGAUUGGACUUCAACUUCAUCAAAAACUACCUCAACCAAAAACUUUAACCUGAAGCGGGACAGACAAACAAACAGACGCUCAGACCAGAAAACAUAAUGCCCAUAAAUGAGGCAUAAUAAAUGUUUGCCUUGGAAAACUCCCUUUAAUAAUUUGUAUAACAACAGGCAGUCUAGCCUGUCAUAAUUCAGUAACUACCAAGUUAUUUAUCUUUUCUGGAAAGAUAUGACUGUUUUAACACCACUUGUAGUACUCCUACCUAUUACAAGGCUGCCAGUUUUUAUUGAUGGCGGAAGCCAUAUAAAUGGAACCUGAAAAAACACAGACCUUCAGUGUCUUUAAAUGUUGUCCAAAGUUUCUGUUGAAAUGUGUGUACUGGUUUAAGGUAUUGCUGAUUAAAAGUGUUGACGUCUGAUUAAACACAAAAACAUCCUUUACCAAAUUGUUCUAUUCAGGGGGAGAUAAACAUAUUGAAAUAAAUCAAGGGGAGAUAAACUUAUUGAAAUAAAUCCUUUACAACAACUUUGGAUCAAUACCUUAUAAAUGGGUACUCGGAUAAUAUUUUGGGAAAGAUUUUCAGAAAAGCAAUUUAAAAAUCUGUUAAAGGUAUAUUCUCAAUUUAUAAAAUAAUUGGUCCAGUGAUCAAUGAAGAAUGUAAAGAUGAUCAUGAUGUGAUAAGAAUGCCAAUGAGAUGUGGUUAAUAUGCCAAUGAGAUGUGGUCAAUAUGCCAAUGGGAUGUGGUAAUAAAGCUAAUGAGAUGUGCUAAGAAUGCCAAUGUGAUGUGCUAAGAAUGCCAAUGAGAUGUGGUCAAUAUGCCAAUGAGAUGUGGUAAUAAAGCUAAUGAGAUGUGCUAAGAAUGCCAAUGAGAUGUGCAAAAAAUGCCAAGGAGAUGUGCUUAGAAUGCCAAUAAGAUGUUGUUAAUCCAACUAAUGAGAUGCGCUUAGAAUGCAAAUGAGAUGUGGUAUAAAGCUAAUGAGAUGUGCUUAGAAAGCCAAUGAGUUGUGGUAAUAAAGCUAAUGAGAUGCACUAAGAAUGCAAAUGAGUUGUGGUAAUAAAGCUUAUGAGAUGCACUUAUAAGAAUGUAAAUGAGAUGUGGUAAUAAUUAAAGCUAAUGAGAUGUGGUAGUAAAGCUAAUGAGAUGCACUUAUAAGAAUGCACAUGAGAUGUGGUAAUAAAGCUAAUGAGUUGCACUAAGAAUGCAAAUGAGAUGUGGUAGUAAAGCUAAUGAGAUGUGCUUAGAAAGCCAAUGAGAUGUGGUAAUAAGACUAAUGAGAUGUGACAAUAAAGUUAACGAGAUGUGCUAAGAAUGCCAAUGAGAUGUGAUCAAUAUGCCAAUGAGAUGUGGUAAUAAAGCUAAUGAGAUGUGGUAAUAAAGCUAAUGAGAUGUGCUAAGAAUGCCAAUGAGAUGUGCAAAAAAUGCCAAGGAGAUGUGCUUAGAUUGCCAAUAAGAUGUGUUAAUCCAACUAAUGAGAUGCGCUAAGAAUGCAAAUGAGAUGUGGUAUAAAGCUAAUGAGAUGUGCUUAGAAAGCCAAUGAGAUGUGGGAAUAAAGCUAAUGAGAGGCACUAAGAAUGCAAAUGAGUUGUGGUAAUAAAGCUUAUGAGAUGCACUUAUAAGAAUGUAAAUGAGAUGUGGUAAUAAAGCUAAUGAGAUGUGGUAGUAAAGCUAAUGAUAUGCACUUAUAAGAAUGCACAUGAGAUGUGGUAAUAAAGCUAAUGAGUUGCACUAAGAAUGCAAAUGAGAUGUGGUAGUAAAGCUAAUGAGAUGUGCUUAGAAAGCCAAUGAGAUGUGGUAAUUAGACUAAUGAGAUGUGACAAUAAAGUUAAUGAGAUGUGCUAAGAAUGCCAAUGAGAUGUGGUUAAAAUGCCAAUGAGAUGUGAUCAAUAUGCCAAUGAGAUGUGGUAAUAAAGCUAAUGAGAUGCACUAAGAAUGCAAAUGAGUUGUGGUAAUAAAGCUCAUGAGAUGCACUUAUAAGAAUGUAAAUGAGAUGUGGUAAUAAAGCUAAUGAGAUGCACUUAUAAGAAUGUAAAUGAGAUGUGGUAAUAAAGCUAAUGAGAUGCACUUAUAAGAAUGUAAAUGAGAUGUGGUAAUAAAGCUAAUGAGAUGCACUUAUAAGAAUGUAAAUGAGAUGUGGUAAUAAAGCUAAUGAGAUGCACUUAUAAGAAUGUAAAUGAGAUGUGGUAAUAAAGCUAAUGAGAUGCACUUAUAAGAAUGCACAUGAGAUGUGGUAAUAAAACUAAUGAGUUGCACUAAGAAUGCAAAUGAGAUGUGGUAGUAAAGUUAAUGAGAUGUGCUUAGAAAGCCAAUGAGAUGUGGUAAUAAAGCUAAUGAGAUAUGCUUAGAAUGCCAAUGAGAUUUGGUAAUAAAGCUAAUGAGAUGUGGUAAUAAAGCUGAUGAGAUGUGACAAUAAAGUUAAUGAGAUGCACUUAUAAGAAUGCACAUGAGUUGUGGUAAUAAAGCUUAUGAGAUGUGGUAGUAAAGCUAAUGAGAUGCACUUAUAAGAAUGCACAUGAGAUGUGGUAAUAAAGCUAAUGAGUUACACUAAGAAUGCCAAUGAGAUGUGGUAGUAAAUCUAAUGAGAUAUGCUUAGAAUGCCAAUGAGAUUUGGUAAUAAAGCUAAUGAGAUGUGGUCAUUAAGCUAAUGGGAUGUGCUAAGAAUGCCAAUGAGAUAUGCUAAAAAUGCCAAUGAGAUGUGCUUAGAAUGCCAAUAAGAUUUGUUAAUACAACUAAUGAGAUGCGCUAAGAAUGCAAAUGAGAUAUGGUAUAAAGCUAAUGAGAUGUGCUUUGAAAGCCAAUGAGAUGUGGUAAUAAAGUUAAUGAGAUGUGGUAAUAAAGUUAAUGAGAUAUGGUAAUAAAGCUAAUGAGAGGUGGUAAUAAAGCUAAUGAGAUGUUGCAAUAAUGCUAAUGAGAUGUGGCAAUAAAGUUAAUGAGAUGUGCUACGAAUGCACAUAAGAUGUGGUAGUAAAGCUAAUGAGAUGCACUUAUAAGUAUUCAAAUGAGAUGUGGUAAUGAAGCUAAUGAGUUGCACUAAGAAUGCAAAUGAGAUGUGGUAAUAAAACUAAUGAGAUGUGGUAGAAAGGCUAAUGAGAUUUGGUAAUAAAGCUAAAUAGACGUGGUAAUAGUGCCAAUGAGAUGUGCUAAAAAUGCCAAUGAGUGGUGAUAUUUAUGCAAAUUCAAUUUGGUAAGAAUGCCAAUGAGAUGUGGUAAUAAAGCUAAUGAGAUGUAGUAAGAAGGCCAAUGAGAACUAUCCACCACAGAUAAAACCACAAGGCUGUAAGAGUUAUCUUUCUUUCAUUUGAAUUUUAUGUAUACUUUGUAAACCUUGUAAGCUCCCCUACAGCUGAUAGUUAAACAUUUUCAUCAUUUUAUGAUUAAAGUUACCCUUUCUUUUAAUAAAAUUAUUUUAUGAAUAAACUUUUAUAAAUAAGCAAGAUGAAAAAGCUUGCUAUAAUUCCAAAUUUAAAAUUUUCUGAAAAAAAAACCCUUAAAUAACCACUCGAUUUUUUUGCCAAUUUAAAAAAAAGAUAUACCAGUAAUGACACGAGGAUAGAUGUGUGGAAUCAAAUAGGUAACAACUAUAGUGAUAAUAAAAUAUUAUAAUAAUUACCAGUUUUAAAUGUAUUGACUUAAUGGACUUAUUGUGUGAUGUUAUAUGUGACCAGUCAGAAUAGUGGACAAUGAAAUAUUCAAAUGAUGAAACUGACUGACUUUAAGUGAAUAGACUAAAUUCAGGAUUGAACAGCCUUGGAAUUGGACCGACAAGUAAAUAUUGACAAACGCCUUGGAAUUGGACCUACAAGUAAAUAUUGACACCAGCCUUGGAACCAGCAAGUGAAUUAUUGACAUUUAUAUUGAUGUGACCAGUAUUCAUGUAGAUGGACAGUGCUAGUGAACUAUAAACUGAUAAAUCUCACAGAAAGGCACAUUACAACUGGGUCUGAAGCUGUUACAUGCAAAAGACGAGAUAUCCAGAAAAUUUUGAAGAAUUGUAUGAUCUAUAACAAGAUCUGAGGAGAGUAGGACCUGGAAGUACUAUAUUACCAACUUCAAGUAGAUUAACUGCUUGGGAAUUUACAAAUCAACUGAUAAAGAAGAAGACUAAUUUUUCCAUUUAGAUGAACUUGGAAACAAUAAUGGACAAACAAUAUAGUGUAUUAUUAUUCUUGUUAAAAUCAACAGAGAGAGAGGAAGGAUAGGAGGGAGUCAAUUGUAAAGAUUUAUUUCUUUUUAACCAGACAUGUCGAUUACAUUAGAAUUUCAGAGGCCUACAGUUUUAGCAUUACAGGGCUUAAAUGGUCAUACAUGAAAGUAGUUAAAGCAAUUUAAUGUUAAGACUUUGAUGUGACCAGAGAGAACAAUCAUGCAGCUGGCAUUGGUUUAAAUCUCUUUUUUUAAAGAUGUUUUGGUUACAAAUAAAUCUGUGUGGAACGUAAAAAAAUGUAAAAAAAUAAUUUGUGGUAUUUUGUACUGUUUCAUUAUGCAAUCUUGAAUACAUUUAUGAUUACUAUUUUUAAAGAAGUCUCAUCAUUAGAAUGAGGAUGGACAAUGUUUUUAACAUUUAUUUGAGACAGAGUUUUGCAUUAUUUUAUUAAAAUAAUUCAAUUCUUUAUCUAUGGAUGAAGGACAAACAGGGAAAACAGACAAAGCUUUUAUUCUAUGAUUUUCAAAUUGUAUUUAUUUACAUUUGAUUGAUUAGUUGAAGAUUAACUACAAGUAUUCAGCAUAGUACAAAAUUUAGGAUGCACUGCAAGUGUAUCUUUAUAGUUAUCAUCACACUAUGUCCAAUCUAGAUGUACAACACUCUUUUUUAUAGUGUUCUGUAAAUUAUCAGGAACACCAGUUGUGAUGAAUGGAAAGACUGGCAGGCUGAGAUUAUACAAGGGGAGGGAAUACCCCUGCUUAUCUUUUCAUACUGGUUAGUUCCUUUGGUAAAGGUUUUGUACAAAUGUUGUUCAUAUCAGAUGUAUACGUUUUGAAUAGAGUUGUUAUUUAGAGCUCUGUAAAAAAAAA